CGGACCUACGGGAGGCAGCAGUGGGGGAUAUUGCACAAUGGGGGAACCCUGAUGCAGCGACGCCGCGUGGGUGAAGAAGCGCCUCGGCGCGUAAAGCCCUGUCAGCAGGGAAGAAAAUGACGGUACCUGAAGAAGAAGCCCCGGCUAACUACGUGCCAGCAGCCGCGGUAAUACGUAGGUGGCAAGCGUUAUCCGGAAUUACUGGGUGUAAAGGGUGUGUAGGCGGGGUUGCAAGUCAGAUGUGAAAAUUAUGGGCUCCACCCAUAACCUGCGUCUGAAACUACAGAUCUUGAGAGUGGUAGAGG
rnacentral:rRNA from 1 species